rnacentral:tRNA from 1 species
GGCCGCCUGGCGAAAUGGUAUCGCGUCUGACUACGAUACCGUUAUCAGGAGAUUGCAGGUUCGAGCCCUGCGGUGGUCA